rnacentral:rRNA from 1 species
UACGGGGGGGGCAAGCGUUGUUCGGAAUUACUGGGCGUAAAGGGCUCGUAGGCGGCCAACUAAGUCAGACGUGAAAUCCCUCGGCUUAACCGGGGAACUGCGUCUGAUACUGGAUGGCUAGAGGUUGGGAGAGGGAUGCGGAAUUCCAGGUGUAGCGGUGAAAUGCGUAGAUAUCUGGAGGAACACCGGUGGCGAAGGCGGCGUUCUGGACUGCAUCUGACACUGAAAGACGAAAGCCAGGGGAGCAAACGGG